rnacentral:rRNA from 1 species
GUAGGUGGCAAGCGUUGUCCGGAUUUACUGGGCGUAAAGAGCGCGUAGGUGGUCUGCUAAGUCUGGGGUGCAAUCUCCCGGCUCAACCGGGAGGGGUCUUCAGAUACUGGUGGACUUGAGGGUAGCAGAGGCAGGUGGAAUUCCGGGUGUAGUGGUGAAAUGCGUAGAUAUCCGGAGGAACACCAGUGGCGAAGGCGGCCUGCUGGGCUAUUCCUGACACUGAGGCGCGAAAGCGUGGGGAGCGAACCGGAUCAGAUACCCGGGUAGUCCACGCCCUAAACGGUGGCAACUAGGUGUGGGGGGUAUCGACCCCCUCCGUGCCGCAGCUAACGCUUUAAGUUGCCCGCCUGGGAACUACGGCCGCAAGGUUA